rnacentral:rRNA from 1 species
GAUGAACGCUGGCGGCGUGCCUAACACAUGCAAGUCGAGCGAACGGACGAGAAGCUUGCUCUCCUGAUGUUAGCGGCGGACGGGUGAGUAACACGUGGAUAACAUACCUAUAAGACUGGGAUAAUAUCGGGAAAAAGGAGCUAAUAAUGGAUAAUAUUUUGAACGGCUUGGUUCAAAAGUGCUAGACGGUCUUGGCGUCACUUAUAGCUGGAUCCGCGCUGCAUUAGCUAGUUGGUAAGGUAACGGCUUACCAAGGCAACGAUGCAUAGCCGACCUGAGAGGGUGAUCGGCCACACUGGAACUGAGACACGGUCCAGACUCCUACGGGAGGCAGCAGUAGGGAAUCUUCCGCAAUGGGCGAAAGCCUGACGGAGCAACACCGCGUGAGUGAUGAAGGUCUUCGGAUCGUAAAACUCUGUUAUUAGGAAAGAACAUAAGUGUAAGUAACUGUGGACAUCUUGACGGUACCUAAACAGAAAGCCACGGCUAACUUCGUG